rnacentral:lncRNA from 1 species
AUACUAAUGCAGUAAUAUUUGAUAUUGGUUCGUAACCAACCUUUAAUUCUAGGUUAGCAUGACUUACUGUUACCUUCUUAGAAACCUUCUCGAAAAACCCAUUUGGGACAAAACCGAUUCAAGGGAAAAAGAUUACACGCGUGCUUUCAAGUCUAAAAGUCAUGUCGUUCUUUGGUGGUCUCCUGUAGGUGUUAGUUCAAAAUGCAAAUAAGUAAAAGGAAUGAAUGGGGUCGUACCUUAGCAGUAAUGUCUCUUCAAGUGAGUUAUGUUCCAGUUGUUCCAUUGUUGCUCGCCAUUCACUAUUCCGAUUUUG